GCAAAUUCCUCCAGCCGGAUCACUUUCAACUGCAUCUCAAGCUUCAAAGAAUAAGUUUGAAACCAAGUCCACAGUAUGGUCUGACACAUUAAGCAGAGGGCUAGUCAAUUUAAACAUAUCUGGACCUAAAGCAAACCCAAUGGCGGACAUCGGUGUUGAUUUUGAAGCCCUCAAUAGGAAGGAGAAGAGGAUGGAGAAGCCUAGUACAGCUCCAGUGAUAUCUACCAUUAACAUGGGUAAAGCUCCGUGGGCUAGUCAAUUUAAACAUAUCUGGACCUAAAGCAAACCCAAUGGCGGACAUCGGUGUUGAUUUUGAAGCCCUCAAUAGGAAGGAGAAGAGGAUGGAGAAGCCUAGUACAGCUCCAGUGAUAUCUACCAUUAACAUGGGUAAAGCUCCGU
rnacentral:misc_RNA from 1 species